rnacentral:rRNA from 1 species
UACGGGGGGGGCAAGCGUUGUUCGGAAUUACUGGGCGUAAAGGGCUCGUAGGCGGCCAACUAAGUCAGACGUGAAAUCCCUCGGCUUAACCUGGGAACUGCGUCGGAUACUGGAUGGCUUGAAUCCGGGAGAGGGAUGCAGAAUUCCAGGUGUAGCGGUGAAAUGCGUAGAUAUCAGGAGGAACACCGGUGGCGAAGGCGGUUCUCUGGGCAUUACCUGACGCUGAGGAGCGAAAGUGUGGGGAGCGAACAGG